UUUAGAGUUUGAAUCCUGGCUCAGGACGAACGCUGGCGGCGUGCUUAACACAUGCAAGUCGAACGGAAAGGUCUCUUCGGAGAUACUCGAGUGGCGAACGGGUGAGUAACACGUGGGUGAUCUGCCCUGCACUUCGGGAUAAGCCUGGGAAACUGGGUCUAAUACCGGAUAGGACCACGGGAUGCAUGUCUUGUGGUGGAAAGCGCUUUAGCGGUGUGGGAUGAGCCCGCGGCCUAUCAGCUUGUUGGUGGGGUGACGGCCUACCAAGGCGACGACGGGUAGCCGGCCUGAGAGGGUGUCCGGCCACACUGGGACUGAGAUACGGCCCAGACUCCUACGGGAGGCAGCAGUGGGGAAUAUUGCACAAUGGGCGCAAGCCUGAUGCAGCGACGCCGCGUGGGGGAUGACGGCCUUCGGGUUGUAAACCUCUUUCACCAUCGACGAAGGUCCGGGUUCUCUCGGAUGUGACGGUAGGUGGAGAAGAAGCACCGGCCAACUACGUGCCAGCAGCCCGCGGUAA
rnacentral:rRNA from 1 species